GCGCCGCCCAAGCCCCGCCCCUGCGUCUAGGGUGGGUGCCACGUGGCUCCCACUUACCGCCCUGGGAAGACGCCUAAGUGGACCAGACAUUUCUCUUCUUUGUCUGUAAGACCAACCUCUUCUGCUCAGUUCACAAGGACACUUUAUUUCAUGGAAUGAUGUGUUGCCGGAUUCUAGGCUCAAAAUAAACCAAUUGAGAUCUUUAAA